CCAUUCUGCAGUCCAGAGUUAGAGACACAAGCCUUGGGGAGGAGAGCAGCCCAAAAGUACAGCCCUGUUUGCAGGAUUUCCACAUGCACAGCUUUGAUAGGACUUCUGGACACGGCUCCCUGACCCACAGGACCCUCCAUGGGUUGUGCUACCUAGAUGUAAUAUAUUGCUACUACCUUGACAAAACAUGCUCACAUAGAGGAGACCCUUGGUCAAGUGAGCUCACCAAAAGGAUGCUGACAGCUUGAGAAGAGUUCAGGUUAUUGGCAGGAACAUUACACUUGGACCAUACUGCACAAAGGCUUAUGGCUAUUCAUGCUGUUUCUGCAAGAAAAUUCAGCAAUUUAUCUGUGAAGUCCUAGGAGGCCUGGAUCACAUUCUCGAGACAAGACAUUCAAACUUUUAGUGUAGAAAUAUUUUACUGAACUUCAAAUUUCAAUGCUGGCCUUCACAGAACUGUUUAUGAACUUAUUAAAUUGUUUAUGGUGAAAAGAAAAUCAGGUAUACAUUUACAUUGACAG